GAUCUGGCUACGGCAUCUGUCACCCCAUUGAUCGCCAGGGUUGAUUCAGCUGAUCUGGUGGGUGUUCCAUGUGCACCCCUC
rnacentral:snRNA from 1 species